GAGUUUGAUCAUGGCUCAGAUUGAACGCUGGCGGCAGGCCUAACACAUGCAAGUCGAACGGUAACAGGAAGCAGCUUGCUGCUUCGCUGACGAGUGGCGGACGGGUGAGUAAUGUCUGGGAAGCUGCCUGAUGGAGGGGGAUAACUACUGGAAACGGUAGCUAAUACCGCAUAAUGUCGCAAGACCAAAGAGGGGGACCUUCGGGCCUCUUGCCAUCGGAUGUGCCCAGAUGGGAUUAGCUUGUUGGUGGGGUAACGGCUCACCAAGGCGACGAUCCCUAGCUGGUCUGAGAGGAUGACCAGCCACACUGGAACUGAGACACGGUCCAGACUCCUACGGGAGGCAGCAGUGGGGAAUAUUGCACAAUGGGCGCAAGCCUGAUGCAGCCAUGCCGCGUGUAUGAAGAAGGCCUUCGGGUUGUAAAGUACUUUCAGCGGGGAGGAAGGGAGUAAAGUUAAUACCUUUGCUCAUUGACGUUACCCGCAGAAGAAGCACCGGCUAACUCCGUGCCAGCAGCCGCGGUAAUACGGAGGGUGCAAGCGUUAAUCGGAAUUACUGGGCGUAAAGCGCACGCAGGCGGUUUGUUAAGUCAGAUGUGAAAUCCCCGGGCUCAACCUGGGAACUGCAUCUGAUACUGGCAAGCUUGAGUCUCGUAGAGGGGGGUAGAAUUCCAGGUGUAGCGGUGAAAUGCGUAGAGAUCUGGAGGAAUACCGGUGGCGAAGGCGGCCCCCUGGACGAAGACUGACGCUCAGGUGCGAAAGCGUGGGGAGCAAACAGGAUUAGAUACCCUGGUAGUCCACGCCGUAAACGAUGUCGACUUGGAGGUUGUGCCCUUGAGGCGUGGCUUCCGGAGCUAACGCGUUAAGUCGACCGCCUGGGGAGUACGGCCGCAAGGUUAAAACUCAAAUGAAUUGACGGGGGCCCGCACAAGCGGUGGAGCAUGUGGUUUAAUUCGAUGCAACGCGAAGAACCUUACCUGGUCUUGACAUCCACGGAAGUUUUCAGAGAUGAGAAUGUGCCUUCGGGAACCGUGAGACAGGUGCUGCAUGGCUGUCGUCAGCUCGUGUUGUGAAAUGUUGGGUUAAGUCCCGCAACGAGCGCAACCCUUAUCCUUUGUUGCCAGCGGUCCGGCCGGGAACUCAAAGGAGACUGCCAGUGAUAAACUGGAGGAAGGUGGGGAUGACGUCAAGUCAUCAUGGCCCUUACGACCAGGGCUACACACGUGCUACAAUGGCGCAUACAAAGAGAAGCGACCUCGCGAGAGCAAGCGGACCUCAUAAAGUGCGUCGUAGUCCGGAUUGGAGUCUGCAACUCGACUCCAUGAAGUCGGAAUCGCUAGUAAUCGUGGAUCAGAAUGCCAUGGUGAAUACGUUCCCGGGCCUUGUACACACCGCCCGUCACACCAUGGGAGUGGGUUGCAAAAGAAGUAGGUAGCUUAACCUUCGGGAGGGCGCUUACCACUUUGUGAUUCAUGACUGGGGUGAAGUCGUAACAAGGUA
rnacentral:rRNA from 1 species